AACAUCGCGCACCUGCGGGAACCUGCGGAAGGAUCAUUACCGAGUUUACAACUCCCAAACCCCUGUGAACAUACCUAUACGUUGCCUCGGCGGAUCAGCCCGCGCCCUGUAAAAAGGGACGGCCCGCCCGAGGACCCUAAACUCUGUUUUUAGUGGAACUUCUGAGUAAAACAAACAAAUAAAUCAAAACUUUUAGCAAUGGAUCU
rnacentral:misc_RNA from 1 species